AGAAGGAUUUCAAAUUUUGACCCUUGCUUUGGAGAUCUCAUGCCAAGAUAUCCAAUUUGUCUUGCCAUCUCCUGUACCUCAGAUCCUUAUCUCCCAAUGGGCAGACACAGCCAUUUCUGUGUUCAACAAUUGAGCUCUAGGUAAGGAUAAUGGAGAAGGGCUAAGAAACAAGACAGUAAAAUUACAACUGUCCAAAUUGGCAAUGCUUUAAGCACAUACAAGUCAUGCAAGGAAAAGCCCAGGGCCAGCUAAGGUCUGUGACACAACUGUGACACUGGACACAUGAGUGCACCACCUGGGCCUUUCUUCAUGUGUCAGGUAGCUGAUGUGCUUUGACUCGUGGCACCCAAUUACUGUCUGUCCCUGCUCUCAGAGAGGAAUAAGGCCAGUCAAAACUUUCACCUCCCAUACUAAUGAAGAGGAUGGAAUGGAUAUGGAGCAACCUUAAUGCCCUUGUCCACAGAUAACACUAUUUCCUGUAAAGAGCCCAGGAUAUCAUGAGUAAGGAAAGUCAAUUCUGUUUUAGCUUCCUUCUGCAGAAAACCCUCCUCUAGAUCUACAGUCAUAAUUUGGGUUGAGGGGAUCCUUAGUCAGAGCUUCUUUACACCUGCUCUUAUAUAAGAGCAUGUCUCUUUGUUGUAUAUUGAAGUGAAUGACAAUGACCUGCCUGGGAAGACAAGACUGCCUCUAAUUUUACUAGCAAGUCUCCUCUUAUAGCCAAUAGGGCACUAAGGGACAAUUGAAAGACCAAACAUUCAACCAUGAGUUUUUAAUUGUCCCACAGUGCCCUAUUGACCGAUUAAAAGACAUGUCUAAAUUCUCCUUGGGAAAUCAAAAGAUGAUAGAGAGGCAAAAAGGGCAAUGAUAUUUGUUAUUGUUUUAUGUUUGCUUCUUGAUUUUUGUUUUUUUCUCUUUAAAAUAAAAAAUAGAGAAAUAACCCUCCUACCCCCCCCCCCAAAAAAAAAACCCUAACCUUAUUUUCACUUUCUGAGGAACCAUUAAAACUAGGAAACUGGUCAUUCUUCAAGGGACACAGUAGAAAGCAAUAAUAACCCUACAUGAAAAAUGGUGAAUCAUAUUUUCAUAUGACUAGGACUACCAGUGACUUCCUGACAGGUUUGCAAAGCUUUCUCACUAACCUUGUAAAGUUCAGACCAUCUUGUUUGUUAGAACUUGUGCAAAGGAGAUGAACACCUCUUAGGAAAGACUGAGAAUUAUAAAGCUGGUUCUACUUGAACUGUCUGAAAAAAAAAAGACUAUCCAAAAGAAGAAAGUUAUUCCUGUAAAUCUCUAGAAGAACUGAGGCUCAAAUUUUUCUCUUUUUUCUUUUCUUUGCUUUUUUUUUUUUUUGAGGCUCUUCUUUUAAAAAGUAACUCUAGUUUUUCUCUAAGAAAAGAUAAAUAGAAUCAUAUCCACUGUAGGUCGUACCUAUUUGUCCCUUCUUCAGGAAGUAGCAAUAUGAUAACAGAGAUCACCACACCCUUUGUAGCAUGAAGAAUUGUGGGGAUUUAUGUGUCUAUGGAGAAAAUGAGGCAGGCAAUUAUGGUGUAGCAAACUGACUGAGCAAAUGGUCAUGCUCUAUCAUAUCAUGAAGAUCCAGCAAAACAGUUUACAAACCCCUGUGUGCUAGAGCAAUCAAAGAAUUCUGUCUUCAGUUCUUAUGAAAACUGAAGUAGGUUUUUUAUAGGACAGUGUAGAUUUAACAUCAAUCUGAAGAAUAGGAGAUAUAAAAGAUGGUCACCAUUUGUCUCCUAGACAUUGUGUGCUCUUUUUCACAGUGGUGUACUUUGUCCCUGCAGAGUAUACUUUUUCCAGUAUUUAGUUGACCCACACUCAGUUUCAAUGCAAAAUCGUUGUGACUGAUUCAUGAGAUAAACUUAUGGAAAGCCAAGGGUUUGAGAAACAAGCAAGUUUAUUUGAUAAGAGAAUGACAGACCAGCUAAGAGUGGCUGAUGCUGUUGAUGAUGAGUCUUCAUUCCCCCAAACUUUUAUACUGGAUUGUGAGAUCAAAGGUUUUUGGUUACCAUAGCAACCAUAUCACAGUACAUCACUUCAUUGAAAUGCCAUAAGAUCCUUUUCCUCAACCACUGGUCUUUUUUCACACAGGAUUAGGGCAGUGGUCAUUUUGGCCAGUGUACUAAAACUGCCUGUUCCUUAUCUAACUGCUUGGUUCUCUUUUAUGAGAUUUAUGGCUAAGUACAGUGGAGGGAGGAUUUUAGGAGUGAGGUCAUCUAAAGUUUAGCUAUAAGCUAAAAUGCACACUAAAAGGAAAUGGAAUCACAGUUACUUCCAUUACUUCAACAAAAACUCAUUUGCAUUUACCCUUAUUUUGUCCAGUUCUUUGUUUAAGACAGGAAGACCCUAGGAAAAAACUCUAGAAAGGGUCUCUAGAACUCUAGAACCUGGUUUAAAAAUGGGGAGAGCAUUUGUUUUGGUAAAAGAUAAAAAGGGUUUAUUGAGAAUUAUGGUGUAGCAAACUGACUGAGCAAAUGGUCAACUCUGAAGUGAUGAAGAGGCCUCAUCAUACAGAUCAACAUCUCACAAUGUGCAGUUGUGUCAGAAUCUUUUAUAGCAAGGAAGAGUACAAGCAAGGAUAAAAAGAGACAAAAAUAUCAUAGCUUACCAAUUACUAUUAUGGAAAUGCAGUUGUUGCACCCUAAUUAUAAGGUCUCAAAAAGGAAAAUAGUCCACCUUUAAAAGCUAAUUCAAGAAGUUUGUUAAGAUUAGAGAUGCAAAGACAAACAAAAAGAAUAAAAGCUACCAAAAAAGGGAGAUAAGGACUAGAGUAGAUGGUAUGGAAAAAAUGGUAUACUAAGCUAAUUGACACUUCCUCUCUACCCUUGGCUGUGCUCUUCAGUGUUAAAUAGAAAAUAUUAGAAAUGCAAGACAAUCUGGUUUUUUAUUUAACUUUUUUUUUUUUUUAUCUUUUUCCUUUUUAUCGGUACCGGGGGUCGAACUCAUGACUGCCUGCUUGCAAGGCAGGUGGCUUAUGCUGCUGAGCUAAAUCCCCAGCCCUUACUUAACUUUUUUGAACUCAAGUCCUUUGAAACAAGUCCCCAUUCUUUGGCUCUCUGUAUAAGGCCAAAACAAAGAAAGCAUGUUGGCCCUCUUUAUCUUCUUUGUGGAUAUCCACCAAGAGCUUUUUCUCAUUAUUAUUCCUAAUAAAUACUCUCCUUAAUUCCUACUUUCAUACUUAAAUCUAUUCUUCAACUUUAGGACACAGAGAAUUUACAAUUUAUAAAAUUACAAAUUUUACAAUUUACAAUUUACAAUUUUACAAAAUUAACCAUUUAGUAAGACAUGUUUAUUCUUAUUUCCUCCCUUCCUGGACUCAAAUCUUUUCCCUUUUUUGCCUAAGGAAAUGGAACUGGGCCUUCAUGUCCUGGUGCUGGCACCUACAUACCCAGUCAAUCUUCUGGGCUCAGGAGAAGUGAAAGUAGAUAUUUACGCCCUGGGCCUGAGGAAUUCUGGAAGAGCCACUUGCCUUGACAAGAAACAUCUUAAAUUUUAAAAUUCUAUUUUGCAUCCAAGGAUAUAGCUCAGUGAGUAGUACAGUGCCUUCCUGGCAAGGGUGAGGUCAAGAGUUCAAUCCCCAGUACCAAUAAAUAAAUUUCCAUUUUGCAGGGCUGGGGAUUAAGUUCAGCACAGUGCUUGACAGCAAGCCUAAGGCCAUGAAUUCAAUUCCAGGUUCAAAAAUAUUUUUCAUUUUGCUGUGACAAUUAAAACUUUCUCCUCUGAUUUGAUACAGCCCUCAGUAUUAAAGGCCUUAAGGUACCACAUCCUUAGGCUGACUUUCACACAUUGGAUGGGCAUGUAGAUUCUAAGUAGCUGGAGCAUAAGUGGAUGUCAAGUAUUUGACCCUAAAAAGGGACCACCAAUGAUUAAAAAUGGCAAAGUAAAAGCUGUUAACAAACUACAGUCUAUCUUGGAUUUGGAAUUGAGACAACUGAAAAAGUAACAACUUAGUGAAGAAAAUAAGAAACAGAUCUCCAGGAAUCAGGAAGGAGCUGACAGCAAACCUAGAAACUGCUGGAAUGAAUGGAGAAACUGAGUACAAGGACUUCUGGAAGAACAUGGUGGAUAGAUAAUAGCAGCUAUGAAGGCUCUCUGAGGUAGCCAGCUUAGAUUCCAGGAAUGGUGCAGUGUGGGGAGUCCUAAGCAGGGCAAGUUAUAGCCUGGCAACCCAGGAAUGAACUAAGCUGAAAGAAAGCAACUGGAAAUAUAAUCCUGGUGUUAUGACUGGAACAGCUAAAGUAUCUGCCAAAGCAGGAACUUGCACCUCUGAAAAUCAGCUUGAAUUUCCUGUCACUGCUGCUGCAUCUGAAUUGGCACAGCAGGGAUAGAGAUGGGAAAGAGCUGAGAGUGGGAAUCGGUGAAGCAAAUUGAGAACAGAGCUAGCCAGGAGCCCUGCAUUGACCUGCGGUGAGUGAGAGGAACAAGGACCCUUCCAUAGACUAGGAGGCUCCAAUAGAGGACAUCCUGUGACCAGACAGACUAGCUGGAACAGGACACUGCAGUGACUUCAGUCACAUAUUCCACUCUCAAGCAGGAUUUGUGGGGGGCACUUGACCUGGGUGAUGCCAUGGGCUAAGACCCAGUAGGCUAGCCCAAACCAGGUCCCUGCACCUGGCAGUGCACCCUGGGGCAGGCUCACAUAGGCUGUCCAGGUCUGUGUCUCCCUAGUACACUGCAGUGGGCAGGAACACCUAGCCAGUAUGAUUCAAAUAAACUGUAACUGACAAAGAAAGAAACUGGGCCUCCUAUAUAUGCUUGUAUGGAAGGAACAAAAAGUAUGGGAAGAGGGAGUAACAAGACAGGGUCCUUGGCCCCCAAUCCUGAGAACACUGACCCAGGAAAGAUAAAUGCAAAGGAGAGUGAGGACAGAAAACAUGUAAUAUCAGGCACGGCACCAAUAGACAUAAAGCGAUAUCUCUGGGACCUCAUAGACAAGUUCAAAAGUGAAGUAUUUAACCAAGUAAAGCAAGAUAUAAGUAGAAUAGUUAAAGAAAUGCUAAGAACCUCCCAAGAAAAAACACAUGGUAGAAUGGAAGAACAGAAAAGAAGGGGAGAAUUGUUUGAUGGAGAAAAUAGAGAAAACAUAGAAUACAUGAAGCAGGUUCAAAGAGAUUACCAGGAAACUAAAAACUAUUGAAAACUGACAUAACAGCUUGAGAGAAACUAAGGAUAGACUAUCUGAACUGGAAGACAGAUUUGUAAUGUGGAAGCAUGAAAGGAAAAACUUCUUAAAAAUAACAAGGAAACAAGCAGUGACAAUACAAAGGCUAGAAGGUGAUAAGAGGAUCUAUAACUUAAGAAUGUAAAGGAAGAAGCAGGGGUACAAACAAAUGAACUGCAAAGGCUAUUCACAGAAAUAAUCAAGGAGAAGUUCCCUAAUAUGGGAAAAGGUAAAGAUACUCAGAUCUAUGAGGCAUACGGGACCCCAGCCACCUACAACCCAAACAGAACUACACUCAUGUAUAUAAUAAUCAAAAUUCCAGAAAUCCAAUAUAAAAACAGAAUAUUAAAAGCUGUCAGAGACAAGAAACAGAUCACUUACAAGGGAAUACCCAUCAGAAUAAUGGCAGACUUCUCACCACAAACCAUCAAAUCAUGAAGAGUGUGGGGCAAAAUAAUUCAAGCCUUGAAAGACAAUAACCUCCAUCCAAGAUUGAUAUAUCCUGCACAAUUGUCCCUUGAAAUUACUGGAAAAACAAGGUGCUUCCAGGAUAAAGAGGAACUAGGGGAAUUUGCAACCACCAAUUCAACUCUAAAGAGAAUACUGCAGGACAUUCUAAAAGAGAAAAAUACCAAGAUUCCAGAAACAGUGGCAGAGAGGCCACAAUGAAUGGAGCAGAAAGCAAAAUGAAGAAGACAAACUGACAACUAAUGACAGAAAAAGAGCUCAACAGAAAUGAGGCAGAGAAAGUUGGAUGAUAGGAACAACUAUUUUAAAGAAAAGAAGACAUCAUAAUAGCUAAUGCUGAUUUAAUAUCAUCUUUUUUUGAAGUCCCAUCGAGCUUUUGUUCUUCUGUCUCCAUUGUUCUUAACUGGUUGCAUCUUAUUGGAUUUUAUUACAUGUGAUAGUAUAAACAAAAACUUUUAUAGACAAGGAGAUUAUACAGAAACUAUUGUUCAUUUUCUGUUAGUUGGUCCUAAAUAUCCUGUAAUAAUGUCAUUCUCUUGAAUAAAUUUACCCUGUCUUGAUAUGUUUGAUGCUAGAGUAUACAAGUUUUACUCAAAGAUUUCAAGGAAAGAGACACAAUGGUAACUACUUUUAUGUUGGGAUAUCUUGUGGUGAAACACUAUUUUUCUUAAAUGGUUAUGUUCUGACCUGUGCUGUUUUGUUAUGUCCUCUUUUAUCUCAGUCUCAUUUUUUUAUUAUUUAUUUUUUUAUCUUUUUAAUUAAGGGAAAAAUAUAUAAAAAUAGCAGAAUAUAUUAUAGUAACUCACUUUGAUCUCCUACUAACUUGAUUUGAAACCCUCUAUUGCUCUCACCACUUUGUUUUGACUGAUUUUGCUCUAUUCUCUUUUGCUUGAUAGUACCAAGUUUGAAAGUAUAUACAACAACUCUGAAGACACUAAGAUUCACUAUGAUGCCCGUUCUGGUUUGACUAUCAUCUUCUUUUGAAGUCCUAGAGAGAAACUGAGUACAAAGCUGAGAAAAGAAUGAUGCAGUUGGAAAUCCUAACCCCAGAUCUUGAAAAAGGGAACCUGUCUUCUCUAACACAAGGGUUGACAGAAAGCAACUUUUUGAAGUUCACAAGUCUCCCCUUAUCUGAAUGCAUUUUCUUUUCUUCUGAAGGCACUGCCAAAAAACUAUAUGUGGCCUAGUCCCUCAGUGACAAGGUAAAUUUCCCUGAUGCUCCAUCAGAAUAAGUCCCACUUUGUUUCCUUUUGGUCCUCUAUUUAAAAAUGAUGAAAAACCAAACAGUCAUAUCAAAAAGGGCCACAGUCAUGUGCAGCCUAUUUGGUCCUCGCUGUGCCCCACCCAGUGAAUUCCAGGUAACUGGGCUUUGCAUAUGUAAGCAGAAACUCACCAGAAUGAUUACUACCUAGCUGUGCAGUGGUAGCUCUUUGCUUGGAACCUGUUGGAGCCACACCCAGAGACCCCAAGAAGCCUGGGAGAUUUGAUGUGCUAUGUGGUGUGAGCUGAAAGCCUGCCCAGUAUACCCCACAUACCAUUCAGCCUUACUAUGCUACUCAGAAACAGGUAGGGCCCUAUUCAGUGACCUCAAGCAGCCAGGGAGCUUUGUUGAGCUACAUGGGGUGUGUUGAAAUUCCAUCCAGUGCACAACCCCCACCUGGUGAGCUGUUAAAUGCCCCUAGGGAUCCAUGGAAUACAGGAAAAUGACAACAUGAAAGAGCAAAAUGCAAUUUCAAACCUCCAGUGCAUCCCAAAUGAGCCUAGAAAAUAUAAGCCAUAAACCUGGAAUUACUGAAAUGAUAGCAACUGAAGUAAAGAAACAACUCCAUGAAGCUGUAAAGGAACUCAGAUCAUAAAUAAUCUCCCAGAUCAAAGAAGAAAUGAUAAACAUAGUUUUAAAAAGUUGAAGAACACUACAAAAAGAUAGAAACCUUGCAUGAACAACAUAAGAAAGCAAUAGAAUGCAUGAAGCAGAUUCAAGGAGAUACCCAAGAAAUUAAAAAAAAAAAAAAACAUCAAAAGCUGGCAAAAUCACUUGAAUGAAUGUGAAGACAGGUUUUCACACCUAGAGAACAAGACUGCAGCUACUGAACAAGAAAGGAAAGAUCUUUUAAAAAUAACAAGGAGGAAAAAGCAACAUACCUCCCUUCCUGUUCUGGGAAGAAGCGGAAUAGCUGGGUCAAACAGGACCUCCAAUUCUAGUUUUCUGAGAAAUCUCCCCACUGACUGCACCAGUUUACACUCCCGCCAACAGUGGAGAUGGAUCCCUUUUUCCCCAUAGCCCCUUGUUAUGGGUUGAGAACUGGUGGUCAACUUAAUGCCAGCUGGAUUACAUCAGCAUGCAUUGAGCGGAGAUGCGCCACCUGAGAAGGGUUGCCAGGAUAAAUAGGUGGAGAAGAAGGGUGGUGUUGAGGGUUGAGGCACUAAGGAGGCAUUGUGUGUUCUCUGAAGAGUUGCUGUUUGAGCCAUUGGUUCUCCUGGGGAAGCUUUGGUCCUCACAUCGAGCAUUGCUUCCUGGCUCCGGAGGGGAAGACACGUGCUGCUUGGUCUCCAGGAUGAACUCGUCACACUGCUUCCUGGCACGUACCCAACUGUGCUUGUUGUCAGAGGAGCUCAGGGCCUCCGUGUCACUGAGGACAGCUGUGAUGCCUUUCAGGAUAGCCCUGGUCUUUGUGAGUGUGACUCCUCAGCUCCAGCGUAGAACCCUCAUCCCACUAUCACAGCUCCUUAAUCCUGCUGGCAUAGACUUUCUGGCUUUCCCCGCUGACCCUUGGAUCUUCCUGGCAUGGAUCCAUAAAACAGACUGGUGUGAGUCCUUCUUGUGGGCUCUGGACUUCCAGUUGGACUCAUGGGAGGCAUUGUCCUGAGCUCUGGGUUUUUAUCUGGACUCAUGUGGGACAUUGCGGUGGGGUUUAAGGCUCUUGACUAAAUAAUCUAUGUCUUUGCUGUUGCGGAUAGAUUUCCUGCAUUUUCCUGUGUUAACUUCCCGUGACCAUUAUAAAAAUAUUAUAAACUCCAUGUCCUGAUCUGAAUUGUUCGCUGUGUACAACCCCUGACUACAACACCCCUCUAGUAUUUGUUACUGGCUGAUUUCUUGGUUAUAGCCAUUCUUUCUGGGGUGAGAGGAGAAUCUUAGUAUUGUUUUAAUUUGUAUCGCUUGAAUGACCAGUGAUGUUUAACAUUUUCUCAUAUAUUUAUUUGCUGUUCAUAUUUUUUAUCUGAGAAGUAUACAUUCAUUUCAGAUGCCCAUUUUUUGUACUGGGUCUUUAAAUCUGGGAGAGACUAAAGAUUCUAAGGAGGGAAAAAACCCCUUGAAUUGUUUAAUAUUGACUAUAAAAUUAGGUAUGGGCUAGUCACAUAUAGCCUUUUAUGUAGUGAGCUACAUUUUUUACACUUAAUUUCCAGCACAAAAUGUAUCCUGAAGAAAAUGUAAAAUGCUAUCAAAUGCUUUUUUCUGUAACUAUUAAGAUUUAUUAGUUUAUUUUUCACUUUGUGGAUAUGAUGUGACACAUUUAUCACACUUUGAACCAUGCUUGUAUGUUCAGAAUGAAUCCUACUCUAUAAUGGCAAAUCAUCCAUUUAGUGUGUGCCAUUAAAUCUGAAUUGCUAGUAUUUUUCUACCCAUGUUCAUCAGGAAUAUUGGCCUAUUUUUAGUUUCCUCACCUGAAUUUACUAUCAAGAUAAUGUAAAACAUAUAAAAGUGGAAGUACUUAUUCCACUUCAUUUUUUUAAUGAUUUAGUGAAAAGUUAGCAAUAGCUUAUCUUUAAAUGUUUUCUACAAUUCAGCAAGAAAAGCACCAAACCUUAUUCUGUUUAGAAGAAAUUCAGUGAUUCAAUCUUAUUAAUGUAUUCAAGUCUUCUAUUCCUUUAUGGUUUAGUACAUUAUAUUUCUAAGAAGUUAUCCAUUUCUUCUGAGCUGUAUAAUUUCUUAUGAUCCAUUGUACCUUGGUGGCAUCAGUGCAAUGUCCCUUUUUAAAAAUGUGGUUCUGAGGAGUUGAAGUGAGAACUUCAAGCAUGCAAAACCAUGUGCUCUAACAGUGACAUAUAUCCUUACACCAUUCUUUCAGUUUUGAUGUUGAGAUUUUUAGUGCCAAAGUUGGGAUACACAGAGAUUUAUCAAUUUUAUCUUUACAAAGAACCAUUUUGUGUCUAAUUUUUUAGCAUUUUACCUUUUUAUUUGGUGUAUGUUUAGAGUACAUAAUCUUUACAUUCAUCUUAAGAAGUUACAUGUACUUAAAAUAUCUUGAUUAUUUGUAUUGCCUUUCACCUUCCGACUUACCUCCCUUGCUCUUUGGCUAAAUCUCCUUUCCCUAUUUUAUUACACUUGUAGUUCACUUUUGCAACAUAUAAAGAUUGCAUUCAUUGGGCAUAGUUAGUAUAUACACAAUGACACAUCUUAAAUCUUUUUAUGUUUCCAUCUCCUACCCUCUCCCUUCAUCCUUAGUCUCUUGGUCUCCUUCCCAUUUGCAAAAGAUCUCCCAGUUUCAUUUUAUUAAUCUUUUAUUUUGUUCUGAAUAUGUACUUUGGAUUAUGCAAAUGAGAAAGCAUGUUAUUUAAGUUUGUAUUUUUCAUUUAUUCUUCAAGCUUUCUAAUAGUUUUCUAUGAUCUAUUUGUUUCCAAUAUAAACUUUGUGUUUUUUGUAAUUAUACUUAUUUUAGUUUGAUUUGUGAUAACGCUUUUACUUGGAAUCAUUUUUUGUGUAUUCCUUUAAUGUUACACAUUUUCCUACUAGAGCACAGUGCUAAUUAAUACACUAUGUUUCCAAUCUUGAUUUAUUAAUUUACAUAUACAUUUCUUCUUAUCCACUGAUUAAUCAGUGACAUUUAAUUUCCAUAUGUUUUUGAAUUUUCCAAACUUCCUCUUGUUAUUUCCAAUUUCCAGUCAUUGUGAUUAAAGUGCUUAACAUGAUUUCAAUAUUUUAAAAUUCAUUUUUUAUGACACAACAUAUAAUGUAUUCUUGAAAAAGUUCCAUAUACACUUGAGAAAAGUGUUGCUUCACUGGCUGUGGGAUGGAAGGCUAUGUAACCAUCAAACUCACUUGGUCUAAUGUAUAGCUAAAACCAGCAUUUCCUUAUGGAUAUUCAGUAUGGCUAUUCUGGCUAUUGAUUAAAGUGAGGUAUUGAAAUUCCUUGCCACUUUUGUAUACAGUCUUUCCUGUCAAAUCUCUUACAUAUUAGGUACUAAAGGGUUCGAUGCACAUAUAUUUACCUGUGUGGUAACUCUCUUGAUGAACUGUUCCUUUUAUUAUUGUGCAAUGGUUACCUGUAUCUUUACAUGAUUUUCUAACUCAAAUCAUAUUUUACCUGAUAAAUGUACCUGUGUUCUCUUUUGGUUUCAUUUGCAUAUAAUAUCUAUUUACAUCAGUUUACUUUAACUCUAUGUAUGUCACAAAAAAUUUAGUGUUAUAAAUCAUCAUAUAAAUAUCUUCUUUUCAUCUAUUCAUUCACUCAGUGCCUUCUGCUUGGGAAAUUCAAUCUGUUUGCAUUCAAAGUAAUUAUGGACAAUUUGUUUCUAUGAUUGCACUAAUUGAUUUUUUUUUUGUGUCUUUUUCAUUUUUAUCGGUACCGGGGAUCGAACUCACGACCGCCUGCUAGCAAGGCAGGUACUUAUGCCGCUGAGCUAAAUCCCCAGCCCCGCACUAAUUGAUUUUGGAUUGAGUUGUGUGUACUUCAUGUUUUCCUGUCUUGCUUUGUGACUUGAUUUUCUUUUCUAUUUUUUUUUUCUUUGCUGGUAAUGGAGAUCAAAUUCAGGACUCCGUGCUUGCAAGGCAGGUGCUUAUGCCACUGACCUAAAUCCCUAGCAGUGUGACUUGAUUUUCUAUAGCCAUAUGCUUUGAAUUCUGUCUUUUUUUUUCUGUAAUCUACUAAGGGUAUAGGUUUUCUGGUUACCACAACUGUUAUAAAAAUCACUAGUCCACAGAUUAGGUGUUAUACUUUACAUCUAGAUUUUCUCUCAAAGUCUCAUGUGGUCAUAAAUGGAGCUUUCCAGGGGUGGCUGGAUGUAAGAAGUGUAAUGCUUAGAUUACAGACAAGACACAGGGAUUAAAGGUGCAAUGCUGCAAUUAAAGGUAACCCACUCUGACUGUAAGUAUUACCCACCAAAAGGGCAAGGAGCCUAGAUGGAAUGUAAGGGACAGAAAAACGGUGGCUGCUGCUUCCUCCUUGCUACUCAACUGCUUUGCUGCCUUCUCCUUGCCAUGAAUUGUUUUUCCUGUUUAAUGCCCCUCUGCCAUGCUAUUCUGCCUUGGAGCCAGUCAAUUAUGGACUGAAACCUCUAUAAACUGUGAGGCUACAAUAAAUCCUUUUGAGUGUUGA